CCUCACGUGUUGAUAGAGAGUUGGAAAGACAAAGGUUACUCGGUGGUGUACGUGUGGAGCAGGGACAGGCCGAAGCUGUUGUUCGACACCGUGUGCGUCCUAACGGACAUGCAGUAUGUUGUGUUCCAUGCAUCAGUUAACUCGGAGGGCUCUUUGGCUAACCAGGAGUAUUUCAUAAGGCAUCAGGAUGGAUGCACCUUGGAUUCGUAGACCGAGAAGCGCAAACUCGCUCAAUGCCUCCUGGCUGCCGUCGAGCGCAGAGCGUCACAUGGAUUGAGGUUAGAAGUGAGCACUCAAAACCGGCCGGGCCUGCUCUCCGACGUGACCAGGGUGUUCCGCGAGAAUGGCCUAUCGAUAACGCGGGCCGAGGUAGGGAUCUGCGGAGAGCGGGCCAUCGGUUCGUUCUAUGUGACCGAAGCUUCCGGGAACGACGUGAACCUGAGCACAGUGGAACUGGUGAGGAAAGAGAUCGGGGGUUCGGUCUCGAUCGUGAACAAGUCCUCGGGAGUGAGUUCUCCUCAGGGUCCAUUGUCGGCAGGCCUCAUUAGCAGAAGUGGGGAUGAAAAGCCGAGGUUGUCGCUCGGAAGCCUUAUCUGGUCUCAGCUCGAGCGUUUCUCCAGCAACUUUGGACCAAUAAGGCUAUAAUGUAAGGUAAUGUUUGCUAUGGACAAGUGUGCUUAGACAUGUACUUUGUAAAUAAGGCUUGUAAGCACCUUGUCACUUGGUCAAGUAGCGAUAUGUUGUUCUUUGACAGAGUCUAGGAAUUAGCCUUUAAGAGUAGCUUUCCGUCUUCAGGUCUGUAAAAUAUCAAUGAAAUUAGUCUCUCCAGUUCAGUGUUUUCUGUGCAA